AAAGCACCGUUAGAGUGAGACACCUCAGUGGGCCAACCUGAAAUAGUUCCUGAGUUAAAAUUCAGAUGCAAUUUCCAGUUUCUUUUGAGCAGUAUUGUGGUCUCUGAGAGGCUUUGAAGUAAGAUGUUAUCAUAUUCUUCAAGUCCAAUUUCUUGACAGACUGCCAUAUUCUUCUGAUUGAAGCUAGUAAACACAGUUCCAGAGGGAUUACAAAGAUAAGGAAUAAGCAGGAACGCCCCUCACUCAGCAGCAGGUGGACAUGGCUGUGGGUCAGGACCUCCUGCUUCAUGGGGAAGCCUUGUCUGUCAUCAGCACCACUGAUUUGGACCACGUAACCCUUCUAUUCUUCACUCAGAGGAGCAUCAGCAGCGUCUGUGGCCAUACACUUCUCAUAACAGCACGCUCUAUCUUCAUUGGAAGAAAUGAUUGGGACAGAGGACCUUCCCUCAAAAAAACCAUUCCCCACACUAGAAUCAUAUCACAGGUAAGGAUAUUAGGUGAUGCUAAGGUAGGGUAGGACAAAGGGAAGUUAUUUUUUUUUUUUAUGAGCAUAAGGGAAAGAAUUUGUGGUCAA
rnacentral:lncRNA from 1 species